AGAUUAAGCCAUGCAUGUCCAAGUAUAAACCUUUAUACGGUGAAACUGCGAAUGGCUCAUUAUAUCAGUUAUAAUUUACUUGAUGGUCUCUUUACUACUUGGAUAACCGUGGUAAUUCUAGAGCUAAUACAUGCAAAGGGCCCGCAAGGGCGGUAUUUAUUAGAUAAGAACCAAUGCCAGCAAUGGCGUGUGGCGAGUCAUGAUAACUGUGCGGAUCGCAU
rnacentral:rRNA from 1 species